GACGUAGGGCGCGAGCGUUGUCCGGAUUUAUUGGGCGUAAAGAGCUCGUAGGCGGUUUGUCGCGUCGUCUGUGAAAACCCACGGCUCAACUGUGGGCUUGCAGUCGAUACGGGCAGGCUAGAGUUCGGUAGGGGAGACUGGAAUUCCUGGUGUAGCGGUGAAAUGCGCAGAUAUCGGGAAGAACACCCGUGGCGAAGGCGGCUCUCUGGAACGCAACUGACGCUGAGACGCGAAAGCGUGGGGAGCAAACAGGG
rnacentral:rRNA from 1 species